rnacentral:rRNA from 1 species
UGGGGAAUAUUGCGCAAUGGGCGAAAGCCUGACGCAGCGACGCCGUGUGGGUGAUGAAGGCUUUCGGGUCGUAAAACCCUGUCGGGUGGAACGAAUCUCCAUCCUGCAAAUASUGGGAUGGAUUGACGGUACCACCGAAGGAAGCCCCGGCUAACUACGUGCCAGCAGCCGCGGUAAUACGUAGGGGGCGAGCGUUGUUCGGAUUUACUGGGCGUAAAGAGCGCGUAGGUGGUCCGAUAAGUCGGAGGUGAAAKCCCUCGGCUCAACCGAGGAUACGCGUCCGAUACUGCCGGACUUGAGGACAGGAGAGGAGAGCGGAAUUCCCAGUGUAGCGGUGAAAUGCGUAGAUAUUGGGAGGAACACCUGUGGCGAAGGCGGCUCUCUGGCCUGUUUCUGACACUGAGGCGCGAAAGCUAGGGGAGCAAACGGGAUUAGAUACCCCGGUAGUCCUAGCUGUAAACGAUGGGCACUAGGUGUGGGAGGUAUCGACCCCUUCUGUGCCGCAGCUAACGCAUUAAGUGCCCCGCCUGGGGAGUACGGCCGCAAGGUUG